GUAGGUGGCAAGCGUUGUCCGGAAUUAUUGGGCGUAAAGCGCGCGCAGGGCGGUCCUUUAAGUCUGGGUGUGAAAGCCCACGGGCCCAACCGUGGAGGGUCAUUGGAAACUGGAGGACUUGAGUACAGAAGAGGAAAGCGGAAUUCCACGUGUAGCGGUGAAAUGCGUAGAGAUGUGGAGGAACACCAGUGGCGAAGGCGGCUUUCUGGUCUGUAACUGACGCUGAGGCGCGAAAGCGUGGGGAGCAAACAGGAUUAGAUACCCUGGUAGUCCACGCCGUAAACGAUGAGUGCUAGUGUUAGGGGGUUUCCGCCCCUUAGUGCUGCAGCUAACGCAUUAAGCACUCCGCCUGGGGAGUACGGCCGCAAGGCUG
rnacentral:rRNA from 1 species